rnacentral:snRNA from 1 species
GUGCUUGCUUUAGCAGCACAUGGACUAAAUCUGGAAUGAUACAGAGAAAAUGAGCAUAUCUCCCUAGCAAGAAUUAUACAUAAAUGAAAUAUUCUGUAUUUUU